UAGAGCUGUUCACUGGGGAGCAGUGCAAGAGAAGAUUGGAUAUAGAACUAUGAAAACUAAAUACCUCUUUUGGCUGCUGCUGCUCUCGGUAUUUGCUUUCACCUCUCAGGAGGGCAUGGGCAGGACUUGCGAAACAUCAAGUACCGAUAUCUCUAAGGGUCUGUGCAUGCUUGAUCCCAACUGCAGGCUUGUUUGUACAGAUGAAGGUUUUUCAAACGCUCAUUGUGAAGGAAUACGUCGUCGUUGUGUGUGUAGGAAGCCAUGUCAUUAAUGGAGCAAGAUGAAAUCUCGUAGACAGAAAGAGAGUCAGGGAAAACUCAAGACAAGGAAGAGAAAAGUUGUGAGAUCACUCCAUGCUAUAUGAGCUCAAAUAUUUUUUUCUUUCUUUCUCUGGG